AUUGAACGCUGGCGGCAGGCCUAACACAUGCAAGUCGAACGCGUGGCGGACGGGUGAGUAAUGUCUGGGAAACUGCCUGAUGGAGGGGGAUAACUACUGGAACCGGUAGCUAAUACCGCAUACCAUCAGAUGUGCCCAGAUGGGAUUAGCUAGUUGGUGGGGUAACGGCUUCCCAAGGCGACGAUCCCUAGCGGGUCUGAGAGGAUGACGAGCCACACUGGAACUAAGACACGGUCCAGACUCCUACGGGAGGCAGCAGUGGGGAAUAUUGGACAAGGGGCGAAAGCCUGAUGCAGACAGGCCGCGUGUAGGAAGAAGGCCUUCGGGUUGUAAAGUACGUUCAGCGGGGAGGCGUUACCCGCAGAAGAAGCACCGGCUAACUCCGUGCCAGCCGCCGCGGUAAUAC
rnacentral:rRNA from 1 species